rnacentral:rRNA from 1 species
AUUAAACGCUGGCGGCAUGCCUUACACAUGCAAGUCGAACGGUAGCGCGGGGCAACCUGGCGACGAGUGGCGAACGGGUGAGUAAAGCAUCGGAACGUGCCCUGGAAUGGGGGAUAACGUAGCGAAAGUUACGCUAAUACCGCAUAUUCUGUGAGCAGGAAAGCAGGGGAUCGCAAGACCUUGCGUUCUGGGAGCGGCCGAUGUCGGAUUAGCUAGUUGGUGGGUAAAAGCCUACCAAGGCGACGAUCCGUAGCGGGUCUGAGAGGAUGAUCCGCCACACUGGGACUGAGACACGGCCCAGACUCCUACGGGAGGCAGCAGUGGGGAAUUUUUGGACAAUGGGCGGAAGCCUGAUCCAGCCAUGCCGCGUGAGUGAAGAAGGCCU